rnacentral:lncRNA from 1 species
GCUGGCUGGCCCAAGGGGGCUGUACUUUCCCUUCCUUUGCACGCGGUUGAGGAGACCGGUAGGCCUGGACGACUUUUGCUGAAUGAUGCCGGGAAAACUCCGUAGUGACUCCAGUUUGGAAUCAGACAUGGCCAUGGAAAAGUUGGAGACCCGGCGAAAGCAAAACGUGAAGGUGAUAUCGAGGGGCCUGGGGCAAGGCAGGACCGGGGGCCGGGCAACGAGAACAGCGGGGCCCGGCAGUACGGGAGACAUGCCGGGCUGAGAGCGUGUUGCACGCGGCGAGGACCGGCAUGUCCAGGUGCCGGGCCUGGGGCUGGGCAGGCGGGAGUCCAACAGUGGCCCUUUCUCUGACCAGUGGACGCAUUGUCCUCCGGACGGAGUCUGCUCUGUAGCUCCGACUUCUCUCAUCUUUUACGCGGCGGCAAGCCCAGGGAGCUUUGGCAGAGAGGCCGGAUUGAGCUGGAGAGAGGAUCACUGCCCCUCCGGGUCCCGGGGAAUUGGGAGUUCCGCACCCCAUGCACGAAGUUGAAGGUCCACUUUAGGCCCCACGUUGUGGGCUCAGACUUAACUCCAGGUGUGAGCGUGCGCGAAGGGAAUUAUAUAAAUAAGUCUGGAGACUGAAGCUUUAGACGAAGGAGAUCUUAAAUCCGUCCGCGCAGCACACGUGGACUGCAUAAACAGUGACAUUUUCCUUACUUGUUUUACUACAAUAAGGGAAGUACAGUUUGCUCCUCGGUAAGCAGCUCAGAAGAUGAGGUAAUCUAAUCUUAGUAUUUAUUGACAAGAUCGUCUGUGGAAAUGUAGAGAGAGAGUGCGAAGUGACCACCAUAUUUCUUACAUAGGCCGGCAGUGACUGUAGUUGAAAUAGCCCUGGUAGUCUUCUGAUUCUUGCCUGUUGCUUAAUAAGACUGAAGGGUAAGACUGAAGGUUGUGAUUUAACUUGUGACCGAGUCUGUUCUGAAAGUCAGUGGAAACAAGAUUGUUCCUGAAUUUGUGUUGUACACGCCUUGGAAUUUACUUUCUUUGCUGUUUCUGGGUCUGAUAGGUGGCUCUUAAAACAGCACUAUUUUGGCCUGGUAGGAAGCCCAGGGGACAUCAAAUUUGUUGUCCAGUGAGGAGGUAGUGGCUUUCAUUUACUCAUUCUGCAUCAGUAAGUGUGUUCAACUGUGGAAUGGAUGCUCCCUCAUCAAGAGAGACAUACAUAAGCAGGGCUGGGCAUGUGGCUCAAUGGUAAAGUACCCCAGAGUUCCAUCUCCAGUACCAAGAUCUACUUCAGAUCACUUAGGAAAAUUCUGAUUUAUGAUCUGGCCAAUAGGAAUUGCAUAGUUACUAGGAGAUACUCUUGACUUUUCAAGCUAAUAAAACUGUUUUUAUAUAUUUAUCUUCAUAUAGGUAAGAAGUGGUAUUAAAAAGCAUACUGGGCCUGGGGUUGUGGCCCAGAGGUAGAGCGCUAGCCUACCCUGCAUGAGGCACUGGGUUCGAGCCUCAGCACCACAUAAAAAUAAAAUGAAUAAAAUAAAGGUAUAAAAAAAUAAAUAAAGAUAUUGUGUUCACCUGUAACUAAAAAAUAUUUUUUAAAAAAGCAUACUGAUUUCUACCUUAUGACAAUAGGAAUAACAAAUGAUGAAAUGCCCCAAAAUUAUGUUCUUCAUAAUUGUGAUCUUAAAGUGAUCCAGAAUUGAUAUAUCAUAAUUGAAUGAUAUGUUAUAAAUGUCAUAAAUGAUGUUUUGUUUUGUAUAUGUGUUUUCUUUAUCAAUUUUUCAGAAAGAUAGAAAAGAGCAGCCAAAGUCUAAUAAGACUGAAGAAUGUGCAGAAGGAAAAGAAGAAACUCUUACCCCCAAAACCAAAAAAGUUAAAAACAAACCAGGGCCUUCUGAAGCUGAUACAAAUUCUCCUAAAUCCAAAAAGGCAAAAAAGCAAGAGGAGCCUACUCAAGAUGCCAUUAUUUCUCCUAAAACCAAAAGUGCAAAAAAGAAAAAGGAAAAGGAGCCUCUUGAAAAGGAAGUUGUCUCUCCUAAAACCAAAAAAGUAAUAAAAAAUGAGGAACCUUCUGAAGAAGAUGUGGAUGCUCCUAAACCCAAGAAAAUGAAGAAAGAGAAGGAAGUAAAUGGAGAUAUUGGAGAGAAAAGUCCCAAACUAAAGAACGGAUUCUCUCAUUCUGAACCUGACUCCAAUGAAGCUGCCAGUGAAGAAAGUAACAGUGAAAUAGAGCAGGUAAAGUUGCAUAGGUAGAAUGUGUCUUUCAAUGUUUCAGAAAUAGAUAAUGUUACACAUACAUAUCCUAUUUUUUAAUGUUAUUAUAUUUUUCAUAUAUUUAUUUAUUUAAUUUUAUGGGUUGCUGGGGAUUGAACCCAGUGCCUCACACAUGCUAGGCAAGCACUCUACCAUUGAGCUACAACCACAGCCCUACACAUGCUGUUUUGAUAGUAGAAGGAAAUUUUUUAUCUCAGCAAUCCUUGGAGGUAUCUUGAGUUGCAGGGUGAGACUUCAUCUUAAAAAUUACAGUGUUGAGGAUCCGGGAUAUAGCUCAUUUGGUAGAGGGCUUGCCUCACAUGCAGAAGGCCAUGGGUUCAAUCCCAGCACCACACACACAAAAAAAGUCUUAAAUAAAUCUUUUUGUUUAGGCCAUUAAGUAAUUUUGAGUUGAAUAAGAUUAAAUGUCCUUUUGGAACUCAGUUCUUUCAUCCUUCAGAAACUUAGUCAUGAAAGAAAAAUUGUGGGCUGGUCAUGUGGCUCAGUAGUAGAGUGUUUGUCUAACAUGCCCAAGGCCCUGGAUUUAAUCCCCAGCAUCACAGAAAAAUCCUAACAUGUUUUCUGUUUGCCAUAGGUUAUGAUCACAAUUGACAGUUUUUCCCCUAAUUAUAAGGUGAAAAAUUUUAGGAAAUGGAUAAAUUUAUCUGAGGAGGGGAGCUUCCUAGAAUUUUAGCAUUCAUUCAUUCAGUUAACACUGAAUACUUUUCAGAUACAGAGGCAACCUGUUGUUAAAUUUUGAUGUUUCCUUAUGGUACAAUGUAUUUAGGAUUGUACCUUAUGCAGUCUUGAAUCCUGCUCUUUCUACUUUAUAUAAGAAUUUUUCCUUAUUUUUAAAUAUUUAAUGUUUAAUGGCUACAUAACCUCUUGCAAAUGUUUAUAAAUUUAUUUAAUAUCUAUUUAUUUAUUUGUGGUGCUGAGGAUUGAACCCAAGGCCUCGCACACGCUAGGCAAACACUCUACCGCUGAGCUACAACCCCAAUCCCCUUAAAAAGUUGUUUUUGAAGAGAUUCUUUUGGUUCUUUCUCAGAAGAGUUCUGUAUUAACUUUUAUGUGAGUUAUGAUUUCUUUCUGUGGUCCUUGACAGGAAAUACCUGUGGAACAAAAAGAAGGCGCUUUCUCUAAUUUUCCCAUAUCUGAAGAGACUAUUAAGCUUCUCAAAGGUAAUAUUCUCGGAAAUAUUACAUAAUGUCAGAACAUAUUAUUCAGAAGCACUACAUUUUUGUUGGAUGAACCAGGGUGUGAUCUUAUUUUUGGACAAUAUAGGCAAUCAGAUAAUGAAGUAGACCAGUAUAUUCAUAGUAGGACUAUGACAUUGAUAGUCUUGGCUGCCUCUAAUAAGUGGUUAAAAUUUACCCUUUACUCAGAAGUAUAAUGGCUGAUACUGCUGAUUAAUGCCAUGUUCAGUUUUCCUUUUCAUCUUCUGCUUGAGUACCAGAUUGAUUCAGAAUUUAUCUUAACAUUCUGCCUAUGAAUUGCUGGGUAGUCUUAGAUGCUCCACAAAGUGUUUUCUGAAUCAGUUGCAGCACAGUCUGGAUUGCAAAGUGUUUGAUUUUUUUCAGGCUCACAAGAUUGUCUGACAAGUGACUUGCUCUCUUAAUAUAUUAAAUAUUUAUUAUAAUUUGAUGUGUUAAAAGUUUGCAAAUAUUUUCCAGAUUCUUCAUUAUCAGAAUAUAUUUGAGCCUGACUUUGUAGUUGUUGACCAAAAGGCAAAAUUCAUUAAUUCUGUAGGACUAGAAAUAUUCAUUAUGUUUCAGUCUUUGGUUAUCCUGGUAUUUUAAGAAUUAUAGUGUCAGCAUUAGAAGUAUAGCUCAGUAGCAGACUGCAUGUUUAGAGGGCAAAAGGCCCUGGAUUUAAACCCCACCCUGCCAAAAAAAAAAAAAAAAAGCCUUGUUGGCUAAUGUGAUUUGUUUGUUCAUAGCCCGUGGAGUGACCUUCCUGUUUCCUAUACAAGCAAAGACGUUUCACCAUGUCUAUAGUGGGAAGGACUUAAUUGCACAGGCGCGGACAGGAACUGGGAAGACAUUCUCCUUUGCCAUCCCUCUGAUUGAGAAACUUCAGAGUGAGCUGCAAGAUAGGAAAAGAGGCCGUCCCCCGCAGGUAACUCUUAAGUGGACCUCAGGCUCCAAGACAGCGCAGGACGAAUCUCUCUGGGCAUGGUUUACAUAUCCAACUAUUUUUAUUGGAUUCGCCUUAAAGCCAACCAUUGUGUUUACUAUUAAUCUUUAUCUGAAGGUAAAUCAGGCUGAUUCUUUUUAAGACUAUGUUCAUAAACCCUUUAUAUUUAAGAUUUAUACUCUGUUCCAUGAUUGUGAUCACCAGUAACAUUAAUGUUCAUUAUAAUCCUUUUACUUAUUUAUUUAUUUAAAAAAAUUUUUUUUUUUUGGUUAUACGUGGCACAGUAUCUUUAUUUUGUUUUUUAUUUUAAUGUGGUGCUGAAGAUCGAACCCAGUGCCUCACAUAUGCGAGGCAAGCGCUCUGUCACUGAGCCACAACCCCAGCCCAUCAUCAUACUCCUUUUAAACUAUAGAUUGUGCCUGGAGUUCACACAUUUGGUUAAGUGUCUUUGACAUCAGACGGAUAAAGUAUUUUUAGUAGAACUUCACUACAGGUUCUUCUGUGCCAGACUGGUUGAGUUUAAAUAAUCUAGAUUCUGCCUCUAACUACACUUUUGGUUUCAGUUAAGUAAUUUAUACUCUAGUGUCUACCUCAAAAGGCUAUUAUGAGAAUGAGAUCAGAAUAACGUAAAGUAUUUGAUAGAGCAUAAGUCACAGGAAAAGCAAAAGUAUCAGCUAAUGGUAUCAUCAUCAUCAUCCUUAGUAUAGCUUCUUCUUCAUAUCAUUAUUUUCCUGGAUUGCUGUUUUAUGAAACUUCCUACAGAUCUUUCCUGGAGCAUUUGGAUAUCCACUUCUUUUUUUAUUUAUUUUUGGUACAAGAGAUUGACCCAGGGGCACUUAAUCACUGAGUCAUAGCCCUAGCCCUUAUUAUUUUUUAUUUUGAGACAGAGUCUCAUGAAGUUGCUUAGGGCUUUGCUAAGUUUCUGAGGCUGGCUCUGAAACUUGCGAUUCUCCUGCUUCAGUAUCCUGAGUUGCUGGGAUUACAGGUGGGCGUCAUCACACCCAGCUUCUAUUUUUCUUCUGACUGGUGAUCACAAACUUUGAAGUAUAUUUGUCUGGAACCUUAGUUAUAAUUUUUUUUUUUUUGGUACCAGGGGCAUUCAACCACUAAACCACUUCCAAACCUUUUUUGUGUUUUAGAGACAGGGUCUCACUGAGUUGCUUAAGGCCUCACUAAAUUGCUGGGGCUGGCAUUGAACUCAUGGUCCUCCUGUCUUUUUUUUUUUUUUAAUAUUUAUUUGUAGAUGAACACACAGUAUCUUUAUUUAUUUUUAUGUGGUGCUGAGGAUCGAACCUAGUGCCUCCACAUGCUAGACAAGCACUUUACCACUGAGCUACAGCCCUAGCCCUGAUCCUCCUGUCUUUCCCUCCCAAGCUGUUGGGAUUAUAGGCGUGUGCCACCACAUCUAGCUCCAUAGUUAGAAUUUUUAUAAUAUAUUGGAAAGCACAUAAUAAAUGUUUUUAAAAUAUCUCAAAAAUUCAAUAGUAAGUUGACCUUUCAGUUGGAUUCCCAAGUGAUAAACAAAUAAUACACAUUACUUUGAAAUCAAUGAGGUCUUUUUCUUUCAGGUUCUGGUUCUUGCACCUACAAGGGAGUUGGCAAGUCAAGUAAGCAGAGACUUCAGUAACAUCACAAAAAAGCUUUCAGUGGCCUGUUUUUAUGGUGGAACUCCCUAUGGAGGUCAAAGUAAGUAAAUUCAAAAGCAGGAGAAGGAAUAUGUCAUUCAUUAUUUUUGAUGCCAUGAUGGGAUUCCUUUUGACUUUCAUAUCUGUCUUCUCUCCCUGGUCUAAGUCAUUUAUGGUGUUUGUCUUUUGCCAUUUUUGUUUAAAGAUGGUCAAAAACAUGUUUCUGAGUUAUGAUGGGUAAAUUCUAUAUAUGGUUCUUAGGACUUUGGCAUUACCUACCAAUAUUUACAUAAGGAUUACAAAGGUAAAAUGUUGAGGGCUGGGGAUAUAGCUCAGUUGGUAGUGUGCUUGCCUUGCAUGCCCAAGGCCCUGGGUUUGAUCCCCAGCACCACAAAAAAUAAAUAAAUAAAAACCAAAAGUAACUUGUUGAAAUCAAGAGGACAGAAUCAGUAGGGUCCUAGGAAUUAGAAAGUCAAAAUUUGAGGUCAGUCUCUGCAUCCUUCUUGUUUGUUUUCUUUCCUGUAGGGGGGCUGACUUUCUAGGGACCCCAGGGCCUAAUAGCCCCUGCUUUAGCAGUUCAUCACUUCCUAGUUAAGACCUUGCAGCUUGAAUAUGUAGAGUAUAUAUGAGGGGAUUUAAGGCAUUAAAAAAAUCUCAGUAUUGGCACACAAAGCUUCUGAUUUUUUCUUUCCAACUUUGGUAGAAUGAAUGUAAACCUUGGCAUCAGAAAGUCAUUUGAAUCUAGACUCUGCUCAGUGAGUAGUUUUGUGACUUUAUGCUCAAGUUGCUUAAUUUUUUUUUUUUUUUUUAAUAUUUAUUUUUUAGUUUUCAGCGUACACAACAUCUUUAUUUGUAGGUGGUACUGAGGAUCGAACCCGGGCCGCACGCAUGCCAAGCGAGCGCGCUACCGCUUGAGCCACAUCCGCAGCCCAAGUAGCUUAAUUUUUUAAUGCUUUACUUUCCUUAUCUAUAGAAUAGGUUAAUAAACCUACCUUUCAGGGAUAUUAUGAGGAUUAAGUUGUAUAAAAUGUGUAAAGUGCCUAGUAUGAUCCCUGAACUAUACUGGAAACUUGAGAAGGAGAGUGGGAUGUGGGGUGCUUGCCUAGUUCUUUGCCCUUAUGGUGGGGGGACCUCAUCCCAGUUACAAGAAAUGGUUCAAUUUCCCCAGAUGUUUCUGUAUACUAUAAGAAUGUUUGAAAUUCUACUGUUUUGUCCUCCCUAUACCUUUUUUUACCUUGUAGAAAGUUCUUAAGAUUCUUAUCUCCACUCUAUGUAACCUUGAAACUUUCUGCUAGCCGAGCAAGUCAUUCUUUCCUGGUGCUACCAUCCCCCAGUGGUGCACUUUCCAAUUGUAUAACUUAAUAUAAUGGACUGUCACUUCUUACAUGCUUUUCCCUGCUGGAUCAGAAGCACCUUGAGUGUCUCUGUAGCUGCCUAAUUAGUAUUUGUAGCAUAUUACUUUGUACUAUCUAAUCAGUAUUUUUGAAUGGAAAUGCAUUUAAAUGGUACCCCAGAAUGAUAAAAGGAUUUUCUUUAAAAAUACAGCCAAUCUUUUCUUUGGUGUUCUUUAUAGUCGAAAAAAUGCGGAAUGGGAUUGAUAUCCUGGUUGGGACGCCAGGUCGUAUUAAAGACCACCUACAGAAUGGCAAGCUAGAUCUCUCCAAACUUAAACAUGUUGUCCUGGAUGAAGUUGACCAGAUGUUGGAUAUGGGUUUUGCUGAUCAAGUAGAAGAGAUUUUAUGUGUGGCAUACAAGAAAGGUAAACCCCAGAGUUGAAGAACUGAUAAAAAGGACCUGAGGAAUGGUGGUGAUGAUGUAAUCUUCUAAGAGAUAAAUGAAAUUUUAGGGAAUUUUAAGGGGAUUUAUUUAUUUGGGAAAAUGAGCAGUUUAUAAAUAAUCAUGAUUUAUCACAUAAUUGCAAUGAGGGAAAGUUAAAAGAAAAAUCAUAUAUUUUAUCAAUUCUGUGUACUUUGCUUUUGGUGUAUUCCAGGUAUUCUGUGUGUUAUUGUGUGUAUGUGUGCAAGUGCCAUUGUAAUCUUAACCUUAUGUAUUAAAACUCAGCAUAACAGCCACCUGCAUGGGAACACAUGCCUAUAAUUCCUGCUGUUCAGGAACCUGAGGCAGGAAGAUUGCAAGUUCAAAGCCAGCCUCAGCAACUUAGCAAGCCCCUAAGCAAUUUAGUGAGACCCUGUGUCAAAAUAUAAAAAGGCUGGGGAUAUAGCUCAGUGGUAUAGAGUGUGUUCCAUUCCCUCUACUGGAAAAGGAAAAAAAAAAAAAUUCUUCUUAGAAUCACUUCUACAGAUUUUCUUGGACCUCAAUAUCUGGAAUUAGUUCUUUAGGAUAGAUUUCCAAAAGUGGAAUUAUUGCCUUAAAAGUUAUAAAUAGUUCAUGCUUUUCAAUAUACAUUGCCGAAUUGCUCUUCAAGAAGAUUCUGCCAGCUUUAUACCACUAUUCGAAAUGUGUGUGAAUGCAGUGAUACUCUUAAGGGAAACAAAAAAUAAUAGGUGAUCUCAAGAAACGAAUAAAUGUGAAUUCAAAAUUGAUAAAAUAUUAAGCAAAUAUCAAGGAGUAUAUAAAUGUGUAUAGAAUCUCUUGCAGUUUUUGAACAGCUUAUUUAGAUAAUUAUUCUGUUGGUUACUAGUCUUUUUUAGUUGAUAAAUUUCACUAUAUUGGAAAAAAUUGUUUCAUGAUUCUUAAAGGCCAAUGAUCAGAAAAACAGAAUACAUUUAAAGUGCUUUAAUUGUUUCAAAGAGCCUUUACAUAAAUUAUUCCAGUAGCAUUUCUUUGCGUGUUGGAAAUCUUUUUUUAUAUUGUGUCUUUACUGCAUGGCUAGCCUCAAAUAAUUUCUGAUGAAUGUUGAUACAGCAUGGAAGUAUUAGGUGAGGUAAAAUACUGUGUAGGCUUGUUUGGAUUUUUCAUAAUGACUUUUUUUUCCCCCCCCAAAGAUUCUGAAGACAAUCCCCAAACAUUGCUUUUUUCUGCAACAUGCCCUCAUUGGGUAUUUAAUGUUGCUAAGAAAUACAUGAAAUCUACAUAUGAACAGGUGGACCUGAUUGGUAAAAAGACUCAGAAAACAGCAAUAACUGUGGAGGUAAAUGAUUCAUUUAGUUGCCGGAAUUGGUAUAAAAUUGUCUGUAAUUUGUUUCUUUUCUGAUAAUAUUAGGACAGCCAAAUAUAGUUUCUUUCCAGGUAAAUGUCAAAUCUAUGUGAAAAGUCAAGUAAAGAUAUAUUUCUACUUGAGUUGCAUAUGGUUUUCUGUAUUCUCUAAAUUUCAUCAUCUUGUAGACUAAUUUCAGAAUCAUUUGGACCCUGAAGUGUCUGAAUUAUGUAAACAAAGAAAUUUACACUUAGAAUUUAAAUACUAGAGGGCAACAGAGAAUACGGAUGUUUUAUUCUAAAGCUGUUUUCAUCUUAGGGUCCGGUACCUAGAUGAAUUCAUUUCACCCAAGGAACAUAGUAGUGCAGUAACUGACUACAGAUUGUAUUUUAAAACAGAUGAAAAAACAAAACAUACAGAAACUUUAAAAAAUUCUCAAUUACUUGGCUUCCUGUAGGAAUCUGUGUAAUUGCUUUUUUUUCCCCUUUAUUUUCACUUAAGUAAGAAAACAGAAGCCAGGUGCUCUCUGGAGAGAAUGGAGAGGCACAGGGGAACAGACCAUGUUGCUUUUAAUAUUAAUGGUUUAGUUACUUUUUUUUUUUCCUUAGCAGUGGUGGCAGUAAUCUGCCUGGUUAGGCUUAAGCCCUUGUUCCAGUACCAAGACAUUAGACCUUGGUAUUGAGCAUGACAUUUGAGGUUCCAGCAAGGCCUAAUAAAAAGAUUUUUGUUUUUUUCUUCCUCUCUUAAAUAGCAUCUAGCUAUCAAGUGCCACUGGACUCAGAGGGCAGCAGUUAUUGGAGAUGUGAUCCGAGUGUAUAGUGGUCAUCAAGGGCGUACUAUCAUCUUCUGUGAAACCAAGAAAGAAGCCCAGGAGCUGUCACAGAAUGCAUCUAUAAAGCAGGUUAGUCCCUCUCAUGCCUGCAAAGCUAGAGUCAUCAACAAGUCUUUACUUUGGGCAUAUCUGCUCUUAGUCUGUUCAUUUAUCUAAUGACUUCCAAGUUUAUUUUAGGUCAAAAGUAAGAGAGUACUUUUCUCAAGAAUGGUCAGGUUAUCUAUCCAUCCAUGUUAGAGCUUAUCUAAUGUUAUCAGUCUCAUCAAACAGAGAGGAUAGGAUGACUCAAACCUAAAACUACUCUGACAAAAAUAGGUGUGAUCUCUCUGGUUUGGUGUUCCUAACCCUUACGUGUAUAUUUAAAUAUAGUUGACAGAGGAUUUGAAAAUAAUUUGGAGGUUCCUCCAUGUAAGAAGAUAUAUAUUUUUCCCCUUUAUUAUAUUUUCAGCAGGAGUAUUAUUAAAAUAUUAGCUUUUACAAACCUAGUUGAGGAUGUAUUAGUGGAGCUAGUUUUCUUAAGCCAGUUUAUUUCUUCUGCAGGAUGCCCAGUCAUUGCAUGGAGACAUUCCACAGAAGCAAAGGGAAAUCACCUUGAAGGGUUUUAGAAAUGGUGAUUUUGGAGUUUUGGUAGCCACCAAUGUUGCUGCACGUGGGUUAGAUAUCCCUGAGGUUGAUUUGGUUGUACAAAGCUCUCCACCAAAGGUAUGUAUUUUAUACAUAGGUUUUGUUACUUGCAUGUGCUUAUAAUAAUUAAUCUUUUCAGUGCCAGGAUGCUAUGGUGAGUUUAAAAAUAAAGCCUGUUAUUUGAAACUCUUUUCUGUAGAAUUGACUUCUGAGUGGAAGAACAGUCAGUGGGCAGAGGUUGGAAUGAUAACUUUCUGGUUAGACAGGGGAAUUCUGAGAGACUUCAUGGAGGUUGUACAGUUUUGAACAGGAUCUUGAAAUUGGUAGAAGAUUUAGAUGGGGUAGUUGUGGAAUACAUAAAUGCAUGAGCUUGAAGAGGACUAACGAGAAAAGGCCUGGAGGGAGACACCAACCUCUGUGUUAGAACUGCUGAGGUUUGUGAGUUAUAGAACCUUUUGUUUAUGUGUUGUGGAUAGUGCUUAUGUAAAUAAAAGUCAGUCUAAAAUCUGUUCCACUCACCUCCAUUGUUUUUCCUCAAAUUGUCUCUUAAUUAAAGUUUGCUUAAACUGAUGGAAAAACAAAACAAAACCCCGAUUACUAUGAAUUCACUACUUAAAAAAGGAAAUCCCUUAAGUGUGACAUAAAUCUUGUUUCAUGAACCUGUAGACUUGUGCUGUGCAGUAUGGUAGCCACUAGUCAUGCAUCUGUUAAACAUUUGAAAUGCAACUAGUAUGGAUUUGUAUAUGUUGUAAUUGUAAAAUACACACUGGACUUUCAAAAACUUUUAUUAAAAUUUUGAAGGCUUAUGAAAAAGGAUAUAAAAUAUCUUGUUAAUUUGUACAUAGAUAAUAUAUUGAAAUAAGACUUGGAUAUAUUUUAAGUUAAAUAUUCUAUUUUACUUUAGUUGUGGUACUUAAAAACUGGAAAUACACAUAUGCCUCUUGGAAACAGCACUGUUUUACACAGGGUUUUUAAUUGUCUCAGGUGUUUGGUUUGAAGUGCUAAGGGACCUCUCCUCCCUUAUGGCCCAGGCACACCAUACUUACUAGCCCUUGUUGUAGAGACAUAGUAUUCUCAGGUGUUUGUUUUUGUUGUUGUUGUUGUUGUGUUACUUGUGUGUUUUACUUCAAUAGGAUGUAGAGUCCUACAUUCACCGUUCUGGGCGGACGGGUAGAGCUGGAAGGACAGGAGUUUGCAUCUGCUUCUAUCAACACAAGGAAGAAUAUCAAUUAGCACAAGUGGAGCAAAAAGCGGUAAAGCUAUUUUCCUAGCUUUCAUCUAGUAGAUAACAUUGUUAAUCUUUUGACUUCAAUUUUAAUUUCAAAUUAUUAUUUUUCUUCUAGCAUAUGACCCUGACUGAAAGCUUUUUAAGUAUAUGUUGUUUUGCGUUGUCCUACAAAGCCCAUUUUGAAAUAAUUUUGUAUUUGAAAGCAGGAGUUUCUGGCUGGGGAUGUGGCUCAAGCGGUAAUGUGCUCGCCUGGCAUGCGCCGGGCGCUGGGUUCAAUCCUCAGCACCAUAUAAAAUAAAAUAAAGACGCGUGUCCACCGAAAACUGAAAAAAUAAAUAUUAAAAAAUUCUUUCUCUUCUCUCUCUUUAAAAAAAAAAAACAGGAGUUUCCUUUUCAUGUUUGAAAAGCAUUUUUUGGAUUAUGAACAUUAGAAAUAUUUGAUCAGGUAUAGGAAUUGCUUGAAAACAAAAGAAUUGACGUGGCUAUUGUCAAAAGGAUAAAGGGAGAGGAGAGGCUAAUUUCCUUAUAGAAUUUUAUUUUAUUUAUAUGUUUGAGGGUGGGCAAGGCAAACCCUUACAACUGGCAGAAGGGCAUGCUAUCGAACCUGGCUAGCAAGGUCAUCUGGGUGGACAGUCCACCUGCUUAUAUCUUGAGCCUAACGCAAUGUUUCCCUUCACUCUAAUUGAAGGUAGAAUUUUAAUAAUGUAUAUAGAACUUUUUCCUCCAGGAGAUGAAGCUUAACCUCUUUUCUCCUUGAGUGGACUACACUUCAUGACUGAGUAGUAAAUGACUUACAAAGAAUAGAGUGUGUGUCAGGCACCAGUGCACUCUUCUGUAAUCCCAGUGACUUGGCAGGCUGGAGCAGGAGGGUCACAGUUUGGAGGUCAACCUCUACAGUGUAGUGAGACCUUGUGAAGGACUAGAAUGUAGCUCAGUGGUAAAGUGUCCCUGGGUUCCAUCUCUAGUACCAAAAGAAAAACAUAAUGGAGGAAGUUGAAGACUUUUUGUCUAUGUACUUGGAAUUGAACAUGGAAGUGCUCUAUCACUGAGCUACAUCCCCAGCCUUUUUAAAAUUUUAAGACAGGGUCUUACUAAGUUAGUAAAGCUGGCCUCAAAUUUAUUUUUUAGUUUUCGGUGGACACAACAUCUUUGUUUGUAUGUGGUACUGAGGAUCGAACCCGGGCCGCAUGAAGGCCAGGCGAGCACGCUACCGCUUGAGCCACAUCCCCAGCCCCUAUAAAAGAACUCUUUAAAGCUGUUAAGGUCAUGGAAAACCAGGAAAGAUAGGCAUGGAAUAAGUCUAGGAUUCAGUUAAUAGUAAUUUUAUCAAUGUUGGUUUCUUAGUUCUUAAAAAUGUGCCAUAGUAACAUGAAAUGUUAGCAAUGGUAGGAAUUUGGUGGGUGGUAUACAAGAACUUUGUACUGCCUUUGUAACUUUUUUUUUUAAAAUAUCAGUUGUUAAUAGACCUUUAUUUUAUUUUAUUUAUAUGUGGUGCUGAGAAUUGAACCUGGUGCCUCACACAUGCUAGGCAAGCUCUCUACCACUGAGCCACAACCCCAGUCACACUUUGUAACUUUUUUUUGUUUUCUAUUUAAUACUUUGAUUUGGUAGGUAUAAAAAGUUAUGGAGCUACUUAAUAAUGGAAACAAGUGAUGACCAUGGUAUGUUAAACUAUGGAUUGUUUUCUUACAGGGAAUUAAAUUUAAACGAAUAGGUGUUCCUUCUGCAACAGAAAUAAUAAAAGCUUCCAGCAAAGAUGCCAUCAGGUAUGUUCCCUACCCUCACUGUGGACUGUGUAGUGUUUGUUAUGUGUAUUGAAUAUGAAUGCCUUUGUGUAGUACCUCUGUAGUACCUCUGGGAUUUGGCCUUUUAAAAUUUGUUUUUUUAUUUGUUUUUAUUUUCUGUAGUUCUGAAUAUUAACACACAUACACACACACACACACAGAGUAGUACUGGGGAUUAAACCAUACAUUCCCCAACUCUUAAAGACAGGGUCUCACCAAGUUUCCCAGGCUGGCCUUGAACUUGCAGUACUCUUGGCUCCGCCUUCCAGAUCACUGUGAUUGUAGGCAUGUGUCAUCAUGCCCAGCUUUUAUCCAUUAUUUUAACAAAUUUCAUAACCUUAUUUAAAGAAUGAUAACUGAGAUGUGGUGUAGGUGCAUCAUGUCCAGUUACUGAUUAGAUUUGAUCACAGGUUAUAUUCUAGAUCUUCAUUAAUUACUAUCCCAUUUGGUAGAAUAAAAACUUUUUUUUGGUGGAGGUGGUAGGAAUUGAACCUAGGACCUUACACUUGCUAGGCAAGUGCUGUACUGCUGAGCUAAAUCAUCAGCCCUAAAAACUGAUUAUUUCUUUAGGUUCUAGUAAAUAUCUAGAUAGUAAGGAUUGGGUAAACUAACAGUGUUUGUCAGUGGAGAUGUUACUGGCAUUGAAAACAAAGAGUGUAUUUAUAUGAGAUUGUUCUACAAACUGAAGGAUAUUUAACUGUUUAGAAUUCCUGACUGUUUCUCCUGUGCAUCAUAUGCAUGGGGUAAGUAGGGUUGGCAUUAUGAAAACCAUUUUCCAUUUCCUCCUAAGUUGAGAUACUCUUUUGGAUAUGGUUCAGGUAGAAUCUAUCCCCUCUUAUCAACUGUUCUUCAAAGCAAAAUCUGAUAGUCAGUUCUACUACUCUCUUAAUGUGAAAUAUCCUGUCAUCAUUAAGGUUCGAAGGAAACUAUUUUACGCCUUCAUCCUCAUUUAUUUUAUUAUCUAAAUUAACUUCAGUAGUUGCUGAGAAACUACUGAGGUUGAGAAUCAAUCUGGGAGUACUUUCUGCAGUUGCUAUUAUACAUGUGUGAAAUACUUGUCUUAAAAAUAGGCAGGGGAGGGGUUGGGGUUUUGGCUCAGUGGUAGAGUGCUCACCUAGCAUGCAUGAGGCACUAGGUUCAAUCCUCAGCACCACAUAAAAAUAAAAUAAAGAUAUUGUGUCCACCUAAAACUGAAAGAAAAAAAAAAGUUAGGGGAGAACCAGGCUUGGUGAUGCAGGCCCAUAAUCCCAGCGAUUUGGGAGGCUGAGGCAGAGGAUGGUAAGUUUAAAGCCAGUCUCAGCAACUUAGUGGGGCACUUAGCAAUUCAGAAAGACCCUGUCUCUAAUAAAAUGUAUUUUUUUUUAGAAGGGCUGGGGAUAUUGUUCAGUGGUCAAACACCCCUGGGUUCAAUCCCCGGUACAAAAAAAAAAAAAAAAGGUAGGGGGACUAGAUCCAAUGUGUCCUUGACUUAACCCAGAAAGCAGUUUGACUCUAAAGUCGAAAUGACAAACUGAAAGGCUGGGCACAGAGUACUCAGUGGUGUGUCUCUUGCCUAGCAUGCAAGAGGCCCUGGGUUCAAAUCUGUAGCAUCAUGAAAAGGAAGAGCCCACAACAAAAUGAUGAGUAGCUAUACUAUUGCAGCAUCAGACUGGUGGCUGGGUGGUAUUCAAAUAUGGUAUAAUAGUGCUUCAGGAUUCAAUAAACUAAAGUUAAUUUAGAUAAUAAAAUAAAUGAGGAUGAACGUAUAAAAUGAUUUCCUGCAGACCUUAAUGGUGACAGGAUAUUUCACAUUAAGAGAGUAGUGGAACUGACCAUCAUAUUUUGCUUUAAAGAACAGUUGAUAAGAGGGGAUAGAUUCUACCUGAACCAUACCCAAAAGAGAUUAUUUGGGGCAGAGGUGAGGGGAGGAAAGAAUGGGCAGAGAAAUAAUUGUAUGGUUGAAAUCUAUAUAUGCAGUUGUCUUGAAAGUAUUUGUGAAUUUGAUUAGACCUAAAAUAUUCAAUUUAAGAAUUAUUUAUCCAUUGUAAUUUUAAAAAUAGAAACAAUCCAUGACUAAAAGACAUGCUUGCCAGGUGCAGUGGUGCAUGCCUGUGAUCCCAGCAACUCAGGAGGCUGAGGCAGAGGAUAAUGAGUUCAAAGCCAGUCUCAGCAACCUUAGUGAGGUACUUAGCAAUUCAGCGAGACCCGUCCCUAAUAAACUAUUAAAAAAGGUCUGGGGAUGUGAUUAAGCACCCCUGGGUUCAAUCCCCAGUACCAAAAAAAAAAAAAAGCCCUAAAGAUUAGCUUAUUAAUGAUAGCUUGGGAAAGUUCAGCAAAUGAAAAGAUUUUAACUCAAUAUUUUUCAAAAUUAUUUUAGCUUCAUCAAUUUAAACCUGAUUUGGGUAUAGGCAGGUGCUACACUACACACCUACAAUCUCAGCACCUCAGAAAGUUGGGGCAGAAGGAUUGAAAGUUUUGAGGCAAGCCUCAAAAACUGAAAAUUUAUAAAUUUUUAUAAAUCUCAAAAUUUAUAAAAAAGAGCUGGGGAUGUAGCUCAGUGGUAACAUGCCCCUUGGUUCAGUCCUCAGUUCCAAAAAAAGAAGAAGAAAGAAAUGAAUAAGUAAACCUGAUUCGGGGCAUUUUUUUUCUUUUCCCUUAGAAUGUAAAUAGCUAUAAUAUUUUCUGAUUAUAAAAAUAAUGUUUAUUGGGGAAAAAGAUAUCACAUUAUUUAUCAUCGUUUUUAACGGCAAUAUGGCAUUUUAUUGUAUGAACAUUUUUCUUAUCUGUAUAUAUGAGUAGACCAUAUUGAUGCACAUUUUCAAAUUCUUUAUACUUUCAGCAUAUUGUCAAUCACACUAUGCUGUCACUUGUAACUUUUCUCCUAACAAAUGUACUCUCAAUCAAAUCACAGGCUUUUAGACUCUGUCCCUCCUACUGCCAUUAACCACUUCAAGGAGUCAGCCCAGAAGCUGAUAGAGGAGAAGGGAGCCGUGGAGGCUUUAGCAGCAGCUCUGGCACAUAUUUCAGGUGCCACAUCAGUAGAUCAACGCUCCUUGAUCAAUUCAGAAGCGGUAUUUCUGAUAACUUGUAUUUGGGGUUUUAGUAGGAUUUGAAAGGGUUCAUUUAAACUUGCCAGUUUUUGCUGUCUUGUAAAAGUAGGAAACUACUAACUGCAUUUUACCUUUUUCUAAUUGAAAAUGUACAUUCAGGUCCAUAGAGACAAAAUAAAUUAAUGUUUGUCAGUGGUUGGGUGGAGGGAGAAAUGGCAAAGACUGCUAAUGGGCAUGAGUUUCUUUUUGGGGUGAUGAAAUGUUCUAGAAUUGUAAAUAGUGGUGAUGGUUGCAAACUUUGAAUUUACUAAACAACCCACUGCAUUUUAUACUUAAAAUGUGAAUUUUGUGGUAUAUGAAUAGUAUCCUUAAUUGUUUUAAUUCCUUAUGAGCCCAGACGUAUACACAUAAAUACAAUAUAAUUUAGCCAGGAUAUCUAGAAACUUUUUAGAAAGUUUUUAUGCUUUUAUUUUCCUUUUAUAAGUUGAAGUUUUAAAAUUUUUAUUAAAUAUAGAUUCACGUGUAGUUGUGAGAAAUAAUAUGAGGUCCCCUAUACACUGCCCAGUUUCCCCCAGUGGUUAUAUUUUAGAAAACUAUGUUACCACAAUAAAGAUGUUGACAUGAUUUAAUCAAUCAAUCUUAUUAAGAGACUGAUUCUGGUCUCUACAGGGGGAAGUGUAUGCUUUUUUUAGAGGGAACUUUCAGAAAUACUUUAGAAUAUAAGGGUAAGUGUUUAUGAUGUAGAUUUGUUUUUUGAGACUUUUAAUUUUGUUCCCCUUUCUUCCAUAAGGGUUUUGUGACCAUGAUCUUGAGGUGCUCAAUUGAAAUGCCGAAUAUUAGUUAUGCUUGGAAAGAACUAAAAGAGCAACUGGGCGAGGAUAUUGAUUCCAAAGUGAAGGGAAUGGUCUUUCUGAAAGGAAAGCUGGUAAGGCUGGGCCCUUUCUCAGACUUCACUUUGGUUCAGUAGCUGAAUGUGGGCAGUAAAACAGAAUGAUGUCUUCUUGGUGUUCUGUGGGGAGGCUGCCUUUAUUUUUUCACUCUGUGCCUGCACUGACCCCUGCAAUUGUGGGGGGCUCUUAGUUACUGACAACUAACUACCCGUGUCUAUGUUUCCAGCCCAAACCAUUCUGUACACCAUGCAAGCCGAAAAGAUCAAAUUACUGCACUGAUAACUUCACAUGGCUUAAUUAAGUAACUAAUUCAGCAUAUUUCCUUUUUUGGUGGUAGCGGGGAUGGGAUUCAAUUUACAUGCUAUGCAAGUACUCUAUAACACUGAGCUAAGCCAGCCUACCCUCCCCCGCGCCCCCCCCCCUUUUUUUUUAUCUUUUUUUGAGACAAUGUCUCACUAAAUUACUGAGGCUCGCUUCUAAUUUGCAAUCCUCCUAUCUCAAUCUCCUGAGAAGCUAGGAUUACAGGCAUGUACCAACAUGCCUAGCUUUAGUUCAUGUUCUUGAAUUCAGGUUCAAAAUUUGAAUUUUUGCUGGGUACAGUGGUGCACACUUAUAGCCUCAGCAACUUCGUGAGGCCCUUACCAACCUAGUGAAAUUCUGUCUCAAAAUAAAAAAUAAUAAGGGAUAGGGUUGUGGCUCAGUGGUUAAGUGCCCCUUAGCUAAUCCCUGGCACAAUAAAUAAAUAAAUAAAUAAUUCUUGCCUGCCAAACCUAGAAAACUUCAUUUUUCCUUUAUGGGAAAAUGAGUGAAAGGCACAGAUUUAUUAUGAAGAUAGUUUUAACUGGAAUCCUGAAGAGCCUUAGGUUUCCAAAGGUGCACUGCUGGUGAAAGAAAUCAUAUUUACCCCAAAGGUAUGUGGAGUUGCUUGAGGUAAACAGUGUGAUCAAACAGGCAGUGAGCUGUCUUCAGGUAAAGGUAAACCUGCCCUGGUUACCAGUUUCAGCUCCAUCUCAUCAUCCCCAACACCCUUUACUCUGGCUGUGCCAAGUACACCAUGCUGUCUUCAUUCAUGAGUGAAGACUGAGCCCCUACUUUUCCAGUAUUUUACUGUCCACAGUGUCCCUUAAAGUUCCCUGUAAAGCUUUGCUGUCCUUACCAGGCAGAGUUAGGGGCAUCGUUAUCUGUACUUCAGAGUUCUUAGAACAUAAUAUUUAUUUAGGUAAUUUUUGCCUUGCUGUCAUUUGCUUUCUGACUGAAAUCCUCAAGAGCACUGUGAUCUACACAGUGGUAAAAAUAUGCAUUCUAAUCAUCUGUACCCCAUUGAAUGAUAUUGUACUCUAAACACUAAGUAAGUAUGUGAAUGGAGAUUCCCAUGAUUGACAGAAUCCAUCAGUACCUAAUGAUACUCAUGUUAGCAUUGGGCGAACUGCUGGGCAAAAGGGGUGCUUCUGAUAAAAUCCUGUAGUUAAAAGACAAUAGGGAGAGGAGUGACUGUCUGUUACAGGGUAGUUUUUGACAGGCUUGUGGGUAUCUUCCCUUGGAGAGGAGGGCACUUACCAUCAAAGAUCUUAUCCUAUAGCAUUAACUUUUUCAUCCUCUUUCACAGGUGGCUGAAUUAUGAAAAACUAGAAAAUUACGUUUUUGUUGUUGUUAUUUGUUUUGUUUUGUUUCUUGCUCUUAGUUUGGUCGUUCUAAAUAGCUGGCAGUGCUUUUCUAAUGGAAGGCAGUAAAGUGUAAUGGUUUUUAAGCCCUACACACCAUAUUUUAAAUACCUGCCCCACUUAAAUCGUUGUGGGGCUUUACACAAGUCAAUCAGACUCUCCAAUUUUGUUUCUUCAGCUAUAAAAUAUAGCUAGUAGCCUUUCUGUACCAUCCCACAAGGUCCAACUUAACUCUUUCUCUUUAUUAAAAAAAAAAAGAAAAAAGUAGUUGAGAGGUACUCAAGGAUUAAGCACAGUGUGAUAGCCAAGAAUAUAUCUACAGUCAAGAAGUUCCAAAUUGUUUUGAGUCCUUCUUAACUGUUCCUUGACUUUCUGCUUUUGUGUUUUGGGUAACUGUAGUGUAUUGGCUUUAGACUAGAGUUCAUUUAAAAUUAAUAUUUGAAAGCUGGUAUAUGCCUGGGAGGCUGAGGCAGGAGAAUCAUGAGUUCAAGGUCAGCCUCACCCUUUUUCUAAAUAAAUACAUAAAACUGGGUGAAUUUUAUUAUUUUCUUUGCAAUACUUGUAUUUAUGGUAUCACUUAGUGUGUAUUGAUUAUAUUAACUUAUAUUUUCUUUGAUUUCUAGGGUGUUUGUUUUGAUAUCCCUACUGCAGCAGUCACAGAAAUACAGGUAUUUUCUCUUGGACUUUUUGUUUUUACAGUACUGGAGGUUGAACCCAGGGCUUUACACAUGCUCAGCAAGUGCUCCAACACUGAACUAUACCUUCCCCCCUUUCUCCUGGACAUUUUAAAGUUAAUAUACAUAAGCUGGGAAGUGUUCAUUGUGAAAAUACAGAAUGAUAGGGUGGCGGACACGACAGCUCUGGUCUCUUAUCAAAAGACAGUUGAGAAUUACAUCUUGGUACUUUUUUCUCCUGUCCUUUUUAUUCUCACAUUUGUUGUUGAGCCUGCCUUUUUUCCUUUCUGGAGUUGUGAGUGAUGUCCAGGCCCUCCCCACCCACCUUAUACAUGUUUUCGUACACAUUUUAACUUGAGAGAUGGAUUUGUAAAUGUGCAUUUGUUUUAUUACCCCUGACAGCUAGAGACCAAGUAGAGGUGAAAUGAAAAAAUGAUGCAGUGAGGAGGCUCCAAGUGAAAAUUAUUUUUUAGUGGCAUCUGGGCUAUGAGAGUCAGUAUUUGGAACAAAUGGCCUUUUAACACUUAUGUUAUCAACCUAGUUGUUUGUUGGAGAAAUGACAACAAUGUUGUUUUUUUCAUGCCUUUUAAACCAUUUGAAUAAAAAUCAAAGGUGAAAACAGAACUUUCUCUCAACAGGAGAAAUGGCAUGAUUCACGACGCUGGCAGCUCACUGUGGCCACAGAGCAACCUGAGCUGGAAGGACCACGGGAAGGAUAUCGAAGCUUCAGGGGUCAGCGAGAAGGCAGCCGUGGUUUCAGAGGACAGCGGGAUGGAAAAAGAAGCUUCAGGGGACAGCGGGGAGGAAGCAGAAACUUCAGAGGAGGAUCAGGAGGUGGAAACAAAAGCAACAGAUCCCAAAACAAAGGCCAGAAGCGGAGUUUUAGUAAAGCAUUUGGUCAGUGAUUAGAAGUAGAGGAUUUGUGUGGCAGAAACAGGACUAUGGCACUAUGGAACUGAGUGGUAUUUUUCACACAGAAUUAAAGGCAGGUUGUUUCCUUUUGACCACUUGGCCAGUCCAUAUCCCCAGAAGAAAGACAGGCUUAAUCUAAAUUAUUUCAUCUGAUCAUUAUCAUUUCUAACUUUAUUGCUUUUAUUGGGUUUUCCUUUUGAAAAGUAAUGAAUUGAUUACAUUGUUAUUCUGAUAUAUUCUCUGUAGAUAUAAGAUAGAAUCAAGCAUGUAUGUCUAUACUUGUAAGUUGAUCUUCUUGUGUUUGUGUGCUGGGGAUUGAACCCAGGGCCUCCCACAUGCUAAGCAUGUGCCCUGUCACUAAGCUACUUAAUAGUAGCUUAAUAGUGUGCUCUUAAUAGUAUCCUCUUAAUAGUAUGCUCUUAAUUGUAUGCUUCCCUAAAGUAAAUAUUUACGGGAAUACAAUAAUCUGUGAAGGACCACAUUAGCCUUUAAAAGUCAAAAGCUUUGUUUUGUAAUUGGUAUCUUCAGCCUCCUGCCAGGUACUUAGUUGUGUGGUUCUCUAAUUUGCCUUCUGAGAAUUUAUACUGAGCAAUGUUUUGAAAUGAGUUUCAAACUUAGCUAGGUUGUGAUAGUUUAUGCCUGUGUAUAUGGUCUAGAUUUGAAGGAUGAAAUAACAUUCAAUAUAGGUUACCCAUGGUCAUGUGCAUUUUUAAACGCUUUUAGCUUCUCACUGUAAGGUGAGUCAUGCUUCAGUAAGUUCUUCACAGAUAAUAUAUAUAGAGAGAGAAAUACAUUUUGAUAGAAAGCCUGUGACUUUAAGGAAUUCCAAAUGUAUAAGAUGGCUCUGUAGCUUUCUUUGUAAAUAAGGAGGCUAGAUAAAUAGUGUUUGAAUGAUUGUACUCCACUUCUUCCUAUUGGAAGAUCAACAUUAUUAAGAAGGAAUUAAGGGAAUAGGGGACACAGGUUUGUGUAGAGUAUGUGCAAAAAAACUCACUAAAAAUAUUCUUUACAUGUAAGAAGGAAUAUUAAUAAGUGAAAAGCAAAGAGUACAAGUGAAGAUGCAUGAUAAAACAUUAUUUUAAUGAUUGAUGUGUAUUUCAAGAGGUUUACUUUUAAUGGGCAAACUGGGGUUUUGGGGGAGAAUGGUCUGCUGUAGUUUCUCAAUAGCCUAGAUUUUAAAGCCACAGAGUAGGACCUGUUUCUGUAAAACUGAUUCUCUCUUGAAAUGCUUUCAUUGAUUUAGAGACUUCCUUUAAGACAAACUGAAUGGUUAUUUAAGUUGUUUCUCUGUGGGAACUGAAUACUUAUUGUAGUUCCUGUCAGAUAACUACACCUGAGGACUUCAGUGUUUGUUGGAAACAUUCUACACAGCAUAGGUGCUCCAGAGUGGCAUUGUCCUCUUGCCUUAAUUUCUAGAAAUUGUCUUUGGUCUGUUUUUUUCCUCUAAUUGCCUCUCACUUGAUCAACUAGCAAAAAGGGGCUCUGAUAGCCAAUUUAGCUCCUGAUCAUUGAAAACAUCCUUUUUCUGUUUGAGCUUCAGUUUUAUCCGUAAGUCUGGGACCAGGUAUUUCUUGCUGUUUGAGAAUUCUCUUGGCCUUUUAUUCUUUUAUCCAUUUGUCAAUUUUAUCACUUUGUUUUUAUUCCUCAUGGAUUCCCAUCAAGCCACAGGGAAUUAGGAAAAGGUAUUUGAUGACAGUCCACAUGUGCCUUUGGGUUAUAAUUUAUUAGAUUCUGGUUUUGUUCAGAUACUUGGACAUGCUUUAGUAGAAACUAAAACAUCUAACAAUUUGGAUAGGAAUGGGUAACCUCAGGCAGUUUUGAAGACUAUAGUAACUGUGCAUGAUGGGAGUACACACCUGUAAUCCCAGCUGUUAUGGAGGCUAAGUCAAGGAGGAUCACAAGUUUGAGGCCAGCCUGGACAAAUGAUGAUAUUUUGUCUCAAUGAAAUUUUGAAAGGGGCUGGAUGUGGUAGAGCACUUGCCUAGCAUGUGAGACCUUGGGUUCGAUCCCAAGUACUAAAAAGAUUUGAUAGCUAUCCUUUAUGAAAGAUAGCUAAACCUUUUUUAUGUGGAUUAUGGAUUAGCCUAAAUUAGAAAAAUGAUCAGGCAUAAUGAAGAGUGAAAAGGAAGAGUAAUAGGAAUUUCACUUUAUACAACUUAAUUUUAAGAAAAACAUGGCUCUUUCAAUAAACGAAGCUAACAUUUCUUUUGGAUUCCAGAAUUCAAACCAUAUUUAUAAGUGUAUAAUUGAGCUGUUAUUUGGUUUAAGUGGACUUUUUGGGCUAGCCUGGGAAAUGUUAUCAUUUUUACUGUUUUCUACAGAGAAAAUAUUUUCAGAGUUAUGUGUCAAAUAAUUCAACAGACUUAAAAAUUACAACCCAUUUUUGUGUUGGAGCUCUGUGCAGUGUUUCCUCUGCAGUUGUACAUAAAAUGUUUUUACUGUAAAUGAGUUAAUAUAACAUGUUACUUUAUGCCAUAAUAAAAAAAGAUAUUAGUACUUUAUGGUUUUGGUGGCUUUUUGUUUUCUAAAAUGAAAAUAGCCCAAAAUCAUAUUAUAAAAACAAUAAAAGUUGACCAUAAAAAUCUAAGAAUAAAAACAAAGUCAAGAGUCACACCAUGUCUGAUAUUUUGGUGAGCAAUAUUCCGUAUAUUCAUUUAUAAAAUUAGAGUCAUCCAGUUUUGUGACUUAUCUGGAAUUGUUUCUCUGCCCCCCCAACGUUCUGUGCACACCUUUCUGUAAACACAGAUCUAGGAUGACUGUUUCUUAGUGUUUUGGCACAGAGGAUUGAACUUCAGUACUUUACCACUUAGCUAUUCCCCCAAGUUCCCUGCCCCCUCCCCUUUUAUUUUUUAAAGAUUUGAGAUGGUCUCACUGAAUUGCUGAGGCUGUCCUCAAACUUGGGCUCCUCCUACCUUAGUCUCUCAAGUAGCAGGGAUUAUAGGUGUGUGCCACCAUUACCCACUCCAGUGAUAUUUUUGAUACCGUGUUUUCUCAAAUAGAUAAGCCACUACACAUUUAACUCAGACUGGCUAACCACAUCGGUAUUUCCUCAUUUUUCACUAUCUUAGGCAACUCUACAGUUAUAGCCUACUUUAUAUCUGUAUAUUUGUCUGUUAUUUUAGGAUAUGUUUUCUAAAAGAAUUGCAGAAUGAAAGUGAAUGUACUUGAGUUUUUGGUGUAAAUUGCUCUCCAAAUUAGUACCAAUUUACAUUUCAAUCAAUGUCUCUGAGAACCUGUUUCCCUGCACCACUGCACAAUUAGAUUUUAUCUUUUUCAGUUUGCUAGGCACCAAAUAAAAUUGCAUUGUUUUAUUUGCAUUCUUUAAUUGAGGAAUAACAUCUCAUAAUGGCUAUUUAUGUUAUUUUUAUUCAUUAAACAUUUGUCAGUUUUUAAAUUGGGAGCUGUCUUUUGUUGAUAAGAGUUCUUUAUUAUUAGCAUGUAACAUUUUCCAAAUUCAUUUGUAUUUCAACUGAAGUGUUUUUUUGACAUGGAAUUUUAUAUUUUUAUGCAAAUGUAACCCGUCUUUUAUUGUUUUUAUUAUCAAGGAAAUGCCUAAAUAAACUCUCAAGUUUCACUUGCUCCUAAUUGACUUAAAAAUCACUAAUUUUGG